GAUGAAGAACGCAGCGAAAUGCGAUAAGUAUUGUGAAUUGCAGAAUUCAGUGAAUCAUCGAAUCUUUGAACGCACAUUGCGCUCGCCAGUAUUCUGGCGAGCAUGCCUGUUCGAGCGUCAUUUCAACCAUCAAGCUCUGCUUGCGUUGGGGAUCCGCGUCUGACGCGGUCCCUCAAAAACAGUGGCGGGCUCGCUAGUCACACCGAGCGUAGUAACUCUACAUCGCUAUGGUCGUGCGGCGGGUUCUUGCCGUAAAACCCCCAAUUUCUAAGGUUGACCUCGGAUCAGGUAGGAAUACCCGCUGAACUUAAGCAUAUCAAUAAGCGGAGGA
rnacentral:misc_RNA from 1 species